UUCACCUGACAUUAAAAAAAAAUAAAUAAAUAAAGAAACUAAUCUGGGUGAUAGCGCAACCACACCAGGUUGUCGACACACUAAGGCAUGCCAGGUAUACACCCACAGUACUGGCAUUCAGAUCGAAUGUUCCAUUAAGAAUUAAAAUGCCUCUCAAAUAUGACAUUUUGAGCUCCUCUGCUUAUUUCAAAAGAUUCUUGAAAAUAUCCCUCAAUCAAACCAGACCUGCAGGACACGAGAGCACUGCAGGUAUCCAACAAGACCAUUCGGAUCUGAUGUUGGCCUCGGAAAAGCGACAAGAUGGCCUGCGUUCUGACAUGACUUGCAUUCUAACAUGUUGAUCUUUUUGCCCAUUUAUAGAACAUCCGAAAAGAAGGAAUCCAGCACCCCGGCUCUCCACCCAGACCACCCUCGUCCGGAUCAGAUGUUGCAUUUUGAAAUAAAAGGCCUCUGAAAACUGG